rnacentral:lncRNA from 1 species
UUUUCAUAAAAAACGCCACAAAUAUAUUUGCUGAAACAACGCCGUUUUCCAGUUUAAAGAUAAUUUACGGCGUUUUUUGACAAACGCCACAAAUAAAAAUGCAAUAAAUAUUUGCUAAAAUUUGAAUAAAUUUUAUUAUUUAUUUAUUUAUCUCUUGUAUAUUUAAUUUGAAUUUUACAUAAAUAAUUAUUAAAAUUUUAAGUAAUAUUUAAAAGUAUUUAAUAUAAAAAUUAAUAACCCCUAAUUCCCAAAUUCCUAACCCAUAACCCCUAAAUCCCCCUUAACCCUUAAAGCAAAAACCCUAAACCCCUAAAUCUCCCUAACCCCUAAAGCAUAACCCCUAAAAAAUUUUAUUAUAUAAUUUUACUAUUUAAAUUUUGCGUAAAUAAAUAUUAUUUAAAAAUAUUAAGUAAUAUUUAAAAGUAUUUGAUACAUGUAUCAAUCUACAUGCAUAAGUGAUCAUCUAUCUAUUAUAUAUCUCUUAAAUAAUAUAAACUAUAUACUCAUAAUUUAAAUAUAUUAAAUUUCUUAUUAUCUAUUUUAGAAAUAUAUAAUAACAUAUUUGAUAUAAAAAUUAAUAAAAACUAUUUAAUCUAAACUUAAACUCUAACCUUACCGUUCAAACCCUAAACCCCAAAUCCCUAAC